rnacentral:piRNA from 1 species
UAGGCAAGAACAAACCCUGGUUGGAAACAA